rnacentral:rRNA from 1 species
GACGAACGCUGGCGGCGUGCUUAACACAUGCAAGUCGAACGGCGAUGCUCUAGCUUGCUGGUGUGGAUCAGUGGCGAACGGGUGAGUAACACGUGAGCAACCUGCCCUAGACUUUGGUAUAAGCUCAGGAAACGGCGGCUAAUACUGGAUACGAAACUGGCCACCUUGGGCAGGGUUGGGAAUGUUGUUCGGUUGGGGAUGGGCUCGCGGCCUAUCAGCUUGUUGGUGGGGUAGUGGCUUACCAAGGCGACGACGGGUAGCCGGCCUGAGAGGGGGACCGGCCACACUGGGACUGAGAGACGGCGCAGACUCCUACGGGAGGCAGCAGUGGGGAAUAUUGCACAAUGAGCGAAAGCCUGAUGCAGCGACGCCGCGUGAGGAAUGACGGCCUGCGGGUUGUAAACCUCUUUCAGCAGGGAAGAAGCGAAAGUGACGGUACCUGAAGAAGAAGCACCGGCUAACUACGUG